rnacentral:rRNA from 1 species
GACGAACGCUGGCGGCGUGCCUAAUACAUGCAAGUCGAACGCUGCUUAGAAAGAAACUUCGGUUUUUUCUUAAGCGGAGUGGCGGACGGGUGAGUAACACGUGGGGAACCUAUCCAUCAGCGGGGGAUAACACUUGGAAACAGGUGCUAAUACCGCAUAGGGCUUUUUUUCACCUGAAAGAAAGCUAAAAGGCGCUUUACAGCGUCACUGAUGGCUGGUCCCGCGGUGCAUUAGCCAGUUGGUGAGGUAACGGCUCACCAAAGCAACGAUGCAUAGCCGACCUGAGAGGGUGAUCGGCCACACUGGGACUGAGACACGGCCCAGACUCCUACGGGAGGCAGCAGUAGGGAAUCUUCGGCAAUGGACGCAAGUCUGACCGAGCAACGCCGCGUGAGUGAAGAAGGUUUUCGGAUCGUAAAGCUCUGUUGUCAGCAAAGAACAGGAGAAAGAGGCAAUGCUUUUUCUAUGACGGUAGCUGACCAGAAAGCCACGGCUAACUACGUGCCAGCAGCCGCGGUAAUACGUAGGUGGCAAGCGUUGUCCGGAUUUAUUGGGCGUAAAGCGAGCGCAGGCGGUGAUUUAAGUCUGAUGUGAAAGCCCCCAGCUCAACUGGGGAGGGUCAUUGGAAACUGGAUCACUUGAGUGCAGAAGAGGAGAGUGGAAUUCCAUGUGUAGCGGUGAAAUGCGUAGAUAUAUGGAGGACACCAGUGGCGAAG